rnacentral:tRNA from 1 species
UCCUAUUUGGUGGAAUUUGGUAGACACGACAGACUUAAAAUUUGUUUUUUAUUGAGUAACGGUUCGAGUCCGUUAAUAGGAA